CUCCAGACUCCUACGGGAGGCAGCAGUGGGGGAUAUUGCACAAUGGGGGGAACCCUGAUGCAGCGACGCCGCGUGGGUGAAGGAGUGCUUCGGCAUGUAAAGCCCUAUCGGCAGGGAAGAAGCAAGACGGUACCUGACUAAGAAGCCCCGGCUAACUACGUGCCAGCAGCCGCGGUAAUACGUAGGGGGCAAGCGUUAUCCGGAUUCACUGGGCGUAAAGGGAGCGCAGGCGGCACGGCAAGUCUGGUGUGAAAGCCCGGGGCCCAACCCCGGGACUGCAUUGGAAACUGCCGGGCUGGAGUGCCGGAGGGGCAGGCGGAAUUCCUGGUGUAGCGGUGAAAUGCGCAGAUAUCAGGAAGAACACCGGUGGCGCAGGCGGCCUGCUGGACGGCAACUGACGCUGAGGCUCGAAAGCGUGGGGAGCAAACAGGAUUAGAUACCCUCGUA
rnacentral:rRNA from 1 species